AAAAGUCACGUUCUCCUAAGCAUUGACUUCAAUCCCUUCUUGCUCGGAUGGACUACGUGGUUUCGCAACUCUACUGAAGGUUGUUCAUGGGUUUAUUGUACAUAGUGGUAUGGAGGAGAAGCUGAUUAUUGAAGAGGAAGAGCCCUGUGUCAUGCACUUGACACAUUUGCAAUAAAUAAU